AGCUAAAGUAAACCAUGUGAUCACCCUCGCGCCCGACAGAGUCGCUGUAAUGAAUGCUCGGGAAGUUAUGGAGAGAAAGGAGACGAUCCCAGUGAUUAAUGCCAAAGCCCUGUUGCCUGGGGAGAGGGUGAUGUUUGACUUUCUUGUACAGCUGCAGUUUGUGUGGUGAAGGUGCUCCCACAAUGUGGUUGGCUGAGCCCCUCCCUCUCGCUGGGUGCAGUCUGAGGUAGAACGAGACUCUUCACAACAUUCUUGUCAUAUCUGGAACCCCAAGGUGACCUUCUGAGCAGACAUCUGCACAAUCAAAAACACCAGGAAUUCCAAUCUCUAAAAUGUUGCUUGUCUCCACCUCACCCCAGCUCCAUUGCUACUGAAACCCCUUACUCGUGUCGGCGUUGCCUUAAACUUGGUGAAUCUGAAACAGAACCCUUGAUUUCGUGACUGACCCAGAAUCUGCUACCUUUCAGUGUUUCCUGCACAAUGACCCCCCGGUCCCUUUUUGGUGCAGCUUUCUACAGUUUCCACCAUGUAAAUAGCACUCUGUUCUCUUAUUAUCCCCUCCCAAAUGACCGACUUUGCAUUUUCCUAAAUUAUACUCCAUCUGGCAACUUGUUGCCCCCUUCUCCUAUGUAUCUCUCUCUCUUCACAAUCCUCUUAGAACUUUACAGUUAUGCCUUUUCCAGGAGUUCCCCCCUACCCCCAUUCUUCGAAGAAUUUACUGGGAACACUGGGCAGUGUGAAGCAUGCAGAGUUGCUCUGUUUUUAGAGAUACUCUAUGGGAGGAGCUUGCUGCCCAUUGGUCAGAAUGGAGACAACUUGCCCAUCGAACUGCAUGAGCCUUUCACACCCCAUGUCUUAUUGAUGAGGCACAGCGGCAGCACGGAAGGAAAUAAAACAAGCAAAUCCUGCUCUCCACAUCUCACUGAUUCUUGGAAUAUUCGGUCCCAUGUGUCAAAGAUCUGCCCUGUUCAGUCACAUGAAAUUCCAAGGUGGAAACUCCGAGAAACCAACAUAGAUUUCCACCUGAACUGACUGCUGACCUCCACAAGGAGUAAUGUGUCCAGUCAUCCUGGGCCAGGAGGAGGGGAUGGUGCGAGUUUCUAACCUGAACUGACAGUGAUGGCUUUUAUAAACGUGUAUUACAGGAUACUACAGGUGGACAUUCAGAUGGUAAUCUCAGUCAUUGUAACACCAAACUCUGAUUGAAUUAGUCAGUUCAUCAGGACCUGGAUAUUCGCAUUGUGUGGUGCUAGAUGGUGAAGAUUUGCAGACUGAAAUCUCAAAAUCAUGUGCAGAUUGUGAUUAUGUUAACCAGCAUUUGAAGAACCAAAGAUAGAGAAUCACUCGGCCAAAAUCCUGCAACACUCACACACAGCAUUGUCGGUCUAUCUGCACCAAAUGGACUGUGAAUGGUUCAAGACAGCAGCUCACUCCCAUCUUCUCAAGGGUAACUAGAGAUGGGGAAUAAAUGCUGGCUGAGCCAGUGAUGCCCAUAUCCUGGAAAUGGUUUCUAUCUCUAGUUGCUGAACCCCAGUUGAUGUUACUGCAGGAUGAUGAGGGAUGCUGAGUGCAUCCUCCAGGAGGCAGCACCAUCACAUUACCCCUGCCUACACCCACACAGUAACACCGCAACGUCACUGGAACAAAAGGUAGCGAAGCCAAAGGAGGACUAAGAUAUAGUUCUUCGGGGUAAAGUCAUGAAAGGGGAUUGGAACACAGCAGGAACAGGAGACUGAGCUGGAUGGUCAGCUGUUUCCCAUUGAAUGGUGGAGCAGGAUUGAAAGGCUGAAUGGUCUCCUCCUGCUGCUAUCUCCCAGGUAUGUAUAUAGCCAUGGAGCCCGGGUAGGAAGGAGUGGGCAGGGAUUCUCCAGGAGAUUGCACUUCCACAACAGGUUUCAGUGAGGGAAGGUUUGAUGGAUUUUAUUUAACAUUUAUCUUUAACACAAAGUUUGUAAAUUUUGGUUUUAAAAUGUUGUAAAAGUUUUUUGCACAGCAAAUAAAAUUAAAGAAAA